UACGGAGGGUGCAAGCGUUAUCCGGAUUCAUUGGGUUUAAAGGGUGCGUAGGCGGUUUUAUAAGUCAGUGGUGAAAUUAUCGAGCUUAACUCGAUGCCUGCCAUUGAUACUGUAUGACUUGAAUAUUAUCGACGUGGGAGGAAUGCGACAAGUAGCGGUGAAAUGCUUAGAUAUGUCGCAGAACACCGAUAGCGAAGGCAUCUCACGAGGUAAUUAUUGACGCUGAGGCACGAAAGCGUGGGGAUCAAACAGG
rnacentral:rRNA from 1 species